UUCAUUAAGAAACGUGGCUUACAUCCACAUUUCAAUGUUAAGCUCUCUUACUACCUUGUUUUAGUUAAGUUUCUCGUUCUUUCUCCCUCUAAAAACUGUUAACGACACAGCACAUCUUUUGUUUCUUUUUAGUUUAAAGGGAAACAUAUCAUGUCUAGAACCAUGUAUUAGUGUCAGCGGUUAAGUUUCCUUCUCCUUUUGUGUGUUCUUUACGUGUUUCUUUGGGUGCUAGAUAAGCUAAAAAAUCUAAGCUCUUGGCUUUCUUGGGAAUCAGAGUGUGAUUGAACUGGGUUUUGGUUCUUGGAUCCGUUUCUUCUGAUUCCUUUGGGAUACGACUUUGGCAAUAAGAGGCUUACCUGAUAUGCUGGAGCUUUCCAAUUUAUAUCAAAUAGUUGGAGACAGAAGAUGAAAACAAAGUUGUCUGCCAUUACUGUGCUUUGUUAGAUUGGAGGCUCAAGAUGGAUGACACAUUUGCCAAUGCUCAAAAAGAUGGCCUGGGCAAAGAGGAUUCAUUGCAUAGCUUAAGCCAUGAUAGAGAAUUAUCUGGUGACCACGAGCUGGAUUGUUCCCAAUCAAAAUCUAGUAGGCUGACAAGAAGGGUAAAUUCACAUCAGUAUCUGCAUUUAAAAGUUAAGCAACUGCAACGCAGUAAAAGUUGCAUCAAAGAUUCGUUCCUUCGAAGCAUUCAUGUCUUAGACAAUUGGAUUCCAAAGCAUAUAAUAACAAUCGAUGAGAAAUAUCUUCGUCGUUGCCUAGAAUUCAUACAUGCCAGUACUUCUCAAGCGGCUCCAUGCAACGCCUCUAUGUACUUGGAUUGGGGAAACAUGGGUUUUUUCUCUGAUGGCCUGAAUAUAGCUAAAAUUGGGAAUAAAAAUACAUGUAGUUCGGCUGGGUUUGAUUUUGACUGUCCAUUGGCUGGGACCGGGAGUGUAGUCAUUAGCCCUGCAGAACAGUGGAUUGCUGGUUCAAUCAUGGGUAGCAAGAGCAUGGUGAAUAUACUGAAGAGUCCUUUAUUGCGCAGAUAUGGUGCAUAUGAUGGUGAUGCCAAUUUUGAGAAAGUGACUUCCAGCGAUGUUAAAGGAUCAAUAUGUUACGAUUUUAUGAACUCUCCUGGUGGAUUAAGUAGUUAUUCACCACACAAGCUCGAUAACGGAGCACAAACUCCAGGAAGCCAUAAAUAUGAAUCAGAGAGUUUGCACAAAAGGUUUGUUUCUAUGUCGAGUACAAACUCUACUUGUUCUGAUCAGUCCUCUUCUUCUCUCCCUGCUGCUGUUACUCAGGGGACGCUCCAGUGCACAUGGAAGGGGGGAAACCCACAUUUCAUCUUCUCCUUAGACGAUCAGAAGGUGGUCUACGUGGCCAACUUUUAUAAUGUUAAUUCAGCAGAUGAUAAGGCUCUAGAGUACGUGUAUUUAUUCCAUUCUAGAAAAGGUGGCCAAAAGGAACAUAUGAUUCAUGAUAAAGAGUCUCGCCUUGUAGGUCAGAUGAACGUAUCAACUUCCUUUUCUCUUUGCCCAAACAAUUGUAGAAUCAUGGAGAGAGAAUUUGUUUUGUUCGGUUGUUAUGAAAAUUUAGUGGGAGAGUUGCAAAGUUCAAGCCAUGACCUCAGGAAGAACAAGAGAUUGUCAAGCAGGGUGGUGGAAGUGUUCAGGACCAACAACUCAUUCAAGAAGAGAACUAACUCCAGAUUUGAUGGAUCUGGUGCAAUACUGGAGAAUUCUUCUUGGGAGCCUUUUCAAGAGAGAGAAUACAACAUGGACGCACUUGGUGGGGCCAAUCUCUUAGAAAAUCAUCUUCCACCAAAUCUUGAAUUGGCGGCCAUUUUGGUGAAAAAUCAUCUUCCUGAGAAGCGUCCAGAGAAGACUGGAGGUUGGGGUUUGAAUUUUCUCAAGAACACGGCUGUAACGCAAGCCAAGGAUACGAUGAAAUCCUCAGUACUUUCUGCCAGUUGUGCCCGAGAUACCGGUGAUUGCUCAACAAGCAUUGAUAUUCUCAUUCCAGCUGGUCUUCAUGGAGGUCCAAGGACCAGAAAUGGUGGUCCUUCCAGUCUUAUUGAUAGAUGGAGAUCAGGUGGGUACUGUGAUUGUGGUGGCUGGGACCUAGGGUGUCCGUUAACAGUACUCAAAAGCAGAUCAGCCAACAAGGAGUUUUCAUCCUCAGCAGAUAUGCAGGGGGAGUGCAAGUUAAUUAAUUUGUUCAUACAGGGUUCAGAGAAUGGUGCUCCCCCCUUGAGGAUGGUGAAUGUCCAUGAUGGCAUGUAUUCUGUGCAUUUUCAGUCAACAUUGUCAGCUCUGCAGACUUUCUCAAUAGCAUUGGCAUUUAUCCAUAGCCAAAAAGUCCCGCACUCCAACCAGAAUAUGUACAGGAGUUAAAGUAGGAAGAUUCAUGUCUCAGCUUGAUGUAGUUGUAACUCUCUUACUGUACCGCAGCGCUUCUUCAAUACUAGACUGUAUUGAUAAUCUGAAAGGAUUUUGGUGCAUUUGGCUAUCACAUGCACAUCUCAAGGGUAGAUGGAGGGCAUGUGCUUCUUAAAUGGCUGAAGUCACGUUGCUCCACAAGAGCGCAAGUUAAGCAGUCAAAGUUUCGAUUUUCAAGUGGAAAUAGCUGGGAUCUUUUUGUGGCUCAUGAUGCUUCAUAUUACUGCAUGGUUCCCAAUCAUGAAUCUAAACCUGUCAAUGUGCGGAUUGCAGGCCUCUUUCAUUUGCACUUUGGAGCCUUGGGUUGGUUGACUUGGUCAGUUCUGCUUUGAAGGUUCAAUAUCUCAAGAUGUUUCCAGGGCAAACUUGAGGAGCUAAUGGCUGGGCUGAUCUCAAAAGCUGGUGGGAAGUGGCACAUGGUUAAAGCCUAAAGAUUCUAUUUCACUCGUUUAAUGAUCUUCUAUUAUUAUAUCAAUGCAGUGUACUCUUUUUUCUGAACGAUCUAGGCAGUGUAUCUCUGUGCAUAUUUUGUUGUUUCUCUGUGGAUGCAAGUGAGACUUGGUUCUCUGCUUCUAUAACGUGGCAGGUGAUUUUUGACACGUUCCAUGGUCCUUCAGUGCCUCAAGUUGAAUUUAUCGGUUGUCCACUAAAGAACUGGACAAGUUCUUGCUUUUGUUGACCAUCACAUGCACACACAUAUUUGAGCGCGUAAAUACGAUACAUCCUGCUGUGUUAUAGUUUAGGAAUAGUUUUUUCUAGCAACAUUUUUUCCUUUGCACAGACACCCUAUAAUGGACCACGGUGACAUUCUGUGUCUUUUAGCAUUGAAAGCAGCUCCCCUGACUUUUUCAUCUCCCCUUGGUAGCUUCUGGAAAAGAAGGUAGCGCUUGGAACCAGGAAAGAAAGUAGUAGCUGAGUUGAUCAUGAGUGAGCUGUGUACAAGCAAACACACGUUGGUUACUGGAACAAUGGAACUGUUUGAGGGAAAAUUACACUGCAAAUCUUCACAAUCAAGGCUCCUUCUUGGCAGUUGGCAUUGAAACAGGGAAAACAAACCUAUUGUGAUCAGGCUUCCUCAAAAUUGAUGUCCAGUGUCUCAGGCACAGAACCAUCGUGUAUGCAAUAUUGUCAUGACAUUGCAUGCAUCUAAGCUUGCUAUAAUCAUAUCUCAUAUGGUCCUGGCCUCUUGCUAGAGUUCGUCGGAGAAGAAAGGAAACGAUCAUAUCCAAAGGCAGAGAACUGCUACAUAUUAUAUUUGCAAGUGUCUUUUCUCGGUCGUGGUAAAAUGGCCCAAGAAAUUGCUGUCUAGAAUUUAGGUUCAAGUAUUCGAAAUUGCUACCAGCGAGCAUUGCUCGGUCACUGUGUGGAGUUCAAGUCCGUGUUCCUGCACAGCUUGCUAGAUCAUCCAUUCCACUGCGUGCAUCUUAUGACUAGUUAAAACACAAAUCAUUAAAAGCUAGAUCAUUCUUUCCACAGCAUGAGCUAUAGAUUGACCAUUCCAUUUUCCAUCGGUUUUUGCUGGUCCUUGAGUAAAUGCCCCUGCAUCUGACAAGAUGUAUUUGUGUCUUCCAAGAUCAUGCCGCCUCAGGCUAAACAAUGUUACCCAAAUCAUAUAGAAGGUUCCGAGUAUUCGAAUGCUGGGCAUGUCAAGGCAUUGGGGUCAAAUUUCAUGUAUUGAAAGAAAAACAGAAAGGACUUGUGAUCUACUAGGCUUUUCCGGUCAACUUCGCAGUUCUCACGUGUAUGCAAGUUUCGUGUUAGAGGCUUUAGGUCCACCUUUUCACCUGGUCUCGUCGUCUUCCCAUUACUCUUCAACUCUACGCUCUAUCUAUUAGGCAUGAUAAUUUGUAUCUGCUUGUUGGGUAUUCUUAAAUAUUUUUAUUAUAUUUAUUUUUAUUUUUAUUUUUA